CGAUAUUCACGGAAGACAGGUGUCUUGCAGCCCUACUCUCUUCGUAGACGUUCUGUGGACAGAUCAAGACCUUCACGGAAGAGAGGUAUGGUUACCAGUGUCUUGCAGCCCUACUCUCUGCGUAGACGUUCUGUGGACAGAUCAAGACCUUCACAGGAGAGCGGUGUUGUUACCAGUGUCUUGCAGCCCUACUCUCUGCGUAGACGUUCUGUGGACAGAUCAAGACCUUCACAGGAGAGAGGUAUGGUUACCAGUGUCUUGCAGCCCUACUCUCUGCGCAGACGUUCUGUGGACAGAUCAAGACCUUUAGAAAACAUGG
rnacentral:lncRNA from 1 species